GACGGAAGGAGCGGCGGCGACGGAGGAGGAGGAUGGAGGCGGUGGUGUUCGUCUUCUCUCUCCUCGAUUGUUGCGCGCUCAUCUUCCUCUCGGUCUACUUCGUAUCCUUGCCUGAGGCAGGCGAACGCCUUGCCGGGGGACACGGCUGAGGUGGGUAAUUCCAGAAUUGAUUGGCCAUACCAUUGUCACUGUAUUACUGCUCAUGUCAUUGCACUGGUUCAUCUUCCUUCUCAACUUACCUGUUGCCACUUGGAAUAUAUAUCGAUACAUUAUGGUGCCGAGUGGUAACAUGGGAGUGUUUGAUCCAACAGAAAUACACAAUCGAGGGCAGCUGAAGUCACACAUGAAAGAAGCCAUGAUCAAGCUUGGUUUCCACUUGCUCUGCUUCUUCAUGUAUCUUUAUAGUAUGAUCUUAGCUUUGAUAAAUGACUGAAGCUGGAGAAGCCGUGGUUGAAGUCAGCCUACACUACAGUGCACAGUUGAGGAGCCAGAGACUUCUUAAAUCAUCCUUAGAACCGUGACCAUAGCAGUAUAUAUUUUCCUCUUGGAACAAAAAACUAUUUUUGCUGUAUUUUUACCAUAUAAAGUAUUUAAAAAACAUGAAUUGAG
rnacentral:lncRNA from 1 species